rnacentral:rRNA from 1 species
GAGAAUUUUUCACAAUGGACGAAAGUCUGAUGGAGCGACGCCGCGUGGAGGAUGAAGGUUUUCGGAUUGUAAACUCCUGUCACUGCAGAACAAGGGUGUGUUUGUUAAUAGCAAACGCAUUUGAUGGUAUGCGGAGAGGAAGGGACGGCUAACUCUGUGCCAGCAGCCGCGGUAAGACAGAGGUCCCGAGCGUUGUUCGGAUUCAUUGGGCGUAAAGGGUGUGUAGGAGGCCAGGUAAGUCAGGUGUGAAAUCUCAGAGCUUAACUCUGAAACUGCGCUUGAUACUGCUUGGCUAGAGGAUCGGAGGGGGUAACGGAAUUUAUGGUGUAGCAGUGAAAUGCGUAGAUAUCAUAAGGAACACCGGUGGCGAAGGCGGUUACCUGGAAGAUUCCUGACUCUGAAACACGAAAGCCAGGGGAGCAAA